GACGAACGCUGGCGGCGUGCUUAACACAUGCAAGUCGAACGGAAAGGCCCUGCUGUUGUGGGGGGCUCGAGUGGCGAAAGGGUGAGUAACACGGGAGUAACCUGCCCUUGACUUUGGGAUAACUUCAGGAAACUGGGGCUAAUACCGGAUAGGAGCUCCUGCUGCAUGGUGGGGGUUGGAAAGUUUCGGCGGUUGGGGAUGGACUCGCGGCUUAUCAGCUUGUUGGUGGGGUAGUGGCUUACCAAGGCUUUGACGGGUAGCCGGCCUGAGAGGGUGACCGGCCACAUUGGGACUGAGAUACGGCCCAGACUCCUACGGGAGGCAGCAGUGGGGAAUAUUGCACAAUGGGCGGAAGCCUGAUGCAGCAACGCCGCGUGCGGGAUGACGGCCUUCGGGUUGUAAACCGCUUUCGCCUGUGACGAAGCGUGAGUGACGGUAAUGGGUAAAGAAGCACCGGCUAACUACGUG
rnacentral:rRNA from 1 species